GACAGAGGUCCCGAGCGUUAAUCGGAAUUACUGGGCGUAAAGCGUGCGCAGGCGGUUAUGUAAGACAGUUGUGAAAUCCCCGGGCUCAACCUGGGAACUGCAUUUGUGACUGCACGGCUGGAGUGCGGCAGAGGGGGAUGGAAUUCCGCGUGUAGCAGUGAAAUGCGUAGAUAUGCGGAGGAACACCGAUGGCGAAGGCAAUCCCCCUGGGCCUGCACUGACGCUCAUGCACGAAAGCGUGGGGAGCAAACAGG
rnacentral:rRNA from 1 species